rnacentral:rRNA from 1 species
CAGUCGCCGCGGUAAUACGAAGGGGGCUAGCGUUGCUCGGAAUGACUGGGCGUAAAGGGCGCGUAGGCGGAUUGUUUAGUUGGGCGUGAAAUUCCUGGGCUUAACCUGGGGACUGCGCUUAAUACAGGCGGUCUAGAGUGAGGAAGAGGGUUGUGGAAUUCCCAGUGUAGAGGUGAAAUUCGUAGAUAUUGGGAAGAACACCGGUGGCGAAGGCGGCGACCUGGUCCUUUACUGACGCUGAGGCGCGAAAGCGUGGGGAGCAAACAGGAUUAGAUACCCGAGUAGUCCCUGUCUCUUAUAC